GACGAACCGUCCAAACGUUGUUCGGAAUCACUGGGCUUAAAGGGCGCGUAGGCGGCUUCCUAAGUCAGGGGUGAAAUCCGGCAGCUCAACUGUCGCAGUGCCUUUGAUACUGGGAAGCUCGAGGGAUGUAGGGGUCUGUGGAACUUCCGGUGGAGCGGUGAAAUGCGUUGAUAUCGGAAGGAACGCCGGUGGCGAAAGCGACGGACUGGACAUCUUCUGACGCUGAGGCGCGAAAGCCAGGGGAGCAAAGCGGG
rnacentral:rRNA from 1 species